GAUGAAGGCCUUCGGGUUGUAAAGUUCUGAUCUUAGGGAAGAAGAAGUGACGGUACCUAAGGAGAAAGCCCCGGCUAACUACGUGCCAGCAGCCGCGGUAAUACGUAGGGGGCAAGCGUUAUCCGGAAUUAUUGGGCGUAAAGAGUGCGUAGGUGGUUACCUAAGCGUAAGGUUUAAUCGAGAGGCUCAACCUCUUCUCGCCUUGCGAACUGGGCUACUUGAGUGCUGGAGGGGAAAGCGGAAUUCCCAGUGUAGCGGUGAAAUGCGUAGAUAUUGGGAAGAACACCGGUGGCGAAGGCGGCUUUCUGGACUGUAACUGACACUGAGGCACGAAAGCGUGGGGAGCAAACAGGAUUAGAUACCCUGGUAGUCCACGCCGUAAACGAUGAGCACUAGUUGUUGGGGACGAAUGUAUUCAGUGACGCAGUUAACGCAAUAAGGGCUCCGCCUGGGGAGUACGGUGGCAACACUAACACUGAAAGGAAUUGACGGCGGCGCGCACAAGCAGCGGAGCAUGUCGUUUAAUUCGACGCAACACGAAAAACCUUACCAAGGCUUGACAUCGGAUGCAUAGCAUGGAAACAUGUGAAAUUUUGUGUAGUAAUACAUAAGACAUCCAGACAGAUGGUGCAUGGUUGUCGUCAGCUCGUGUCGUGAGAUGUUGGGUUAAGUCCCGCAACGAGCGCAACCCUUAUCAUUAGUUGCUAAUAUUAAGUUAAGGACUCUAAUGAGACUGCCGUAGAUAAUACGGAGGAAGGUGGGGAUGAUGUCAAAUCAUCAUGCCUCUUACGUCUAGGGCUACAGGCGUGCUACAAUGGCUGGUACAACGAGUUGCAACACGGUGACGUGGAGCUAAUCUCUUAAAGCCAGCCCCAGUUCGGAUUGUAGUCUGCAACUCGACUACAUGAAGUUGGAAUCGCUAGUAAUCCCGAAUCAGAAUGUCGGGGUGAAUACGUUCUCGGGUGUUGUACACACCGCCCGUCACGCCAUGGGAGUCGGUAAUACCUGAAGUCGGUAGCCAAACCUUUUAGGAUGGGGCC
rnacentral:rRNA from 1 species